GUAUCCAAUAGAUUUACCUCCAACUUGUAACCCUCUACAUACCACCUUUGAACCACUAAUAUCAAUGUUCGUAUCGUAGCACACCUGAUCCCUUUCAGCAACCUUUCGUUAAUUCUGAUAUAUUGUUUAUCUCAAAACUAAGAAAUCGUAUAGACAUGAUCCAUUAUCUAAGUAUUUUAGUUGCCGUCACUUUGGAACAAUUAAGGUUAGCAGGGAUGGCGGGAAAGUGUGAAGAGAGCUAAAACAAACAAGUUGGA